rnacentral:rRNA from 1 species
UGAAUACGAGAUGCUACGGCGUCGAAGCAGUCUAUGUCAUACUUCCAAGAAAAGCUCGCACUGUCAUAAACAAAUAAUGCCUGUACCAUAACCGACACAGGUGGGUAGGUAGAGUAUACUAAGGGGCGCGAGAUAACUCUCUCUAAGGAACUCGGCAAAAUGACUCCGUAACUUCGGGAGAAGGAGUGCCUUAUUUAUAAGGUUGCAAUAACAAGAUCCAAGCAACUGUUUAUCAAAAACACAGGUCUCCGCUAAGUCGUAAGACGAUGUAUGGGGGCUGACGCCUGCCCAGUGCCAGAAGGUUAAAGAAGUUGGUUAGCAUUCGCGAAGCUGAUAACUGAGGCCCUGGUGAACGGCGGCCGUAACUAUAACGGUCCUAAGGUAGCGAAAUUCCUUGUCGGGUAAGUUCCGACCCGCACGAAAGGCGUAAUGAUUUGGAUACUGUCUCGGAGAGGGGCUCGGUGAAAUAGACUUGUCUGUGAAGAUGCGGACUACCUGCACCAGGACAGAAAGACCCUAUGAAGCUUUACUGUAACUUGAGAUUGAAAUUGGACUUUACUUGCGCAGUAUAGGUGGGAGGCGUUGAUAAUAUUCUUGCGGGAUUAUUUGAGCCAUCAGUGAGAUACCACUCUUGUAAUGUUAGAUUUCUAACUUUGUAUCAUUAUCUGGUCAAAGGACAGUUUCGGGCGAGCAGUUUGACUGGGGCGGUCGCCUCCUAAACGGUAACGGAGGCGCACAAAGGUUUCCUCUGAACGGGUAGAAAUCGUAUCUAGAGUGUAAAGGCAUAAGGAGCUUGACUGUGAGACCUACAAGUCGAGCAGGGACGAAAGUCGGUCUUAGUGAUCUGACGGUGCUGAGUGGAAAGGCCGUCACUCAACGGAUAAAAGUUACUCUAAGGAUAACAGGCUGAUCUCCCCCAAGAGUUCACAUCGACGGGGAGGUUUGGCACCUCGAUGUCGGCUCAUCGCAUCCUGGGGCGGUAGUACGUCCCAAGGGUUGGGCUGUUCGCCCAUGAAAGCGGUACGCGAGCUGGGUUCAGAACGUCGUGAGACAGUUCGGUCCAUAUCCGGUGUAGGCGUUAGAAUAUUGAGAGGAGCCUUCUUUAGUACGAGAGGACCGAGAAGGACAUACCUCUGGUGUACCAGUUAUCGUGCCAACGGUAAACGCUGGGUAGCUAUGUAUGGAGUGGAUAACCGCUGAAAGCAUCUAAGUGGGAAGCCCACCUCAAGAUGAGUAUUCUGGUGUAAGGUCACGGGAAGACGACCCG